GGGAAAAUGACAGCUUCCACUUUUUAAGGAUACUUAGUGCUAUUUAAGUUUUCUCCCCAAGCAUGCCAGUGCACUCACUUAGUGUUUGUUUGAACAUUUUUACAUAGCAACAGAUUUUUUUCUAACUAGUGAGACACUGGCCAAUACUUUUUUCCUUCUUCUUUUUUUCUUUUCCAUUCGGAAACAAAAGAACAAUGUAAUACAUGCCAUUUUUAUAAAGGAAGCAGAUUGAAUCUUCAAAAAACUAAGUCAUAAUUAUGCACUAAUAAAAAGCAAACAAAAGAAUGGAACCUGUACCUGUGUUGUGAAGUCACAUGGCAGCUGCUGGAGGACUGCCAUCAGAUGUGGAUUUAUGUGGAGGAUAUUUCCUCUUCUUUCCCUGCAAUCCUCAUUUCCAGAUUCAAUAGAAGAAGACAGACCCUUGCUGUGUUCACUUCUCACCCCCACACCAAGUCUAGAAAUCAUUCUUCCUUUGAGAUGGGGAAGGCGUUGGAAAGGCUUGCAGCAGGCAGCCUGCUGGCUGGAAAGCCAGCUCACACGGCAGGGCAGCCACACUCAGCAGUCCUUGGACUAAGGGGAGGUACACUCUCAUCAUCGUGAGUUUCGAGAGCUGUCAGCUCAGCUGCAACCAAAGCUACAACUGACGCUUUAGCAGGAAACAGCCACAUCCUCCUGGGACACCGUCCUGAAGGGAACAGCACAAUGUGUGUCAGAUGCAAAGUUUUCAACCUCAGAUCACCAAGAUUUACAUGAGCUCUCAGGCCUCUCUGCAGUGCACCCCCACAGGAAGGCACAGACACCACAAGGCUCAGGUGUGAACAGUGUUGCCUGCUGUCUUCCCCCUGCCCACCCCUCACUCCCCGUGCCCACACUAAUCUCCUGUGUCCUCUUCAACAUCUGGUACUAUAUGUAAGGC
rnacentral:lncRNA from 12 species